CUCCAGCAAACCUGCUCUUCAAUUCUGCUUGAUCCGUGCAAACACUCCUCUUUGAUCCUAGUAAGACUUCGCUACAGAUAAGCUUUCAAUGUGAGAGGAAAAGAAUGUCAAUAAGACGAUAAUAUAUCUCAGGUGGUUGCCUGUGGCAGGUAUGAUCUCUUCAGUAGUGCAGGAGAGCUUUUUUCAUUGUCAAGGCCCUUUGCUAGAUCAUGUAGCGAUAAUAAAAUCAACAUAUCAAUACUAGUUCUUUUUUUUUUUUUUUUUUUUNNNNNNNNNNNNNNNNNUUUUUUUUUUUUUUUUUUGGCACCAGAGAUCGAACUCAGGACCUUGCGCUUGCAUGGCAGACGGCCGUAUCACUGAGCUAAGACCCCAGCCUGAUACUAGUUCUUGAAGUGGACCUUCUGUGCUGCCUCCAGCUCAAGCCAGGCCUGUACCUCUUCUGCUUACCUCCAUGGGCAAUUCCAUCUAGGCUCCUUCCAUUCCGUGGGUUUCCUGGGGAAGAGUAGACCCCAAUUUCUACUUUUUCAUCUUGUCUGACCCAAUGUCCUGGAGACAUUUUCUUCCCAAAACUGCUGGAUGUUCCAUUGUGGUAACAAGGUAUCCAGCUCCCAGCUGGAAAAUAGGGCAAAUUGGGAUUGAAAGGAAACAUUCCAAAUGAAGAAAUCUAAUGAAGCAAGCACUAAGAUGUAGACAUGCAGAGACAGGGUGACUACCCCUGCAGGACCUUACUCGAUUACUCCAUACUGACCGAAGGUCCCAUGAAAAAAACGUGUUUUGAUCACAUACGUCUCCCCAGUCCCAGGCCAGCUUCUCUGCUUCCCUCCCGAAGGAAACUUUCUAAGAGCUGAAGAGGUUUACAGGCCCGUCGAGGUCACUGCUCCUCCCGUCCACUCACACUUCCCACUCCGCGUGCCAGGAGUGUUCCCACUCCGCGCCACCCUCCUGCGGCC
rnacentral:lncRNA from 1 species